rnacentral:tRNA from 1 species
GGAUUGUUAGCUCAAGGGUUAUAGCGACAGGGGAGAAACCUGCAGGCUGUAGGUUCGAGUCCUACACAAUCCA